UAUUGGCUUAGUUACGGGGCACAAAUUAGCUUGGGUUUAAUGUUUUGUUUGAUCCUUUGUGCUAAGGCCUUUUGAGUGGACUAUUCUUAUAUUAUAGAUUGUCCUUCAACCAGUCUUGGACAUUU